CAGUGCCCGGGAGCCCUUAAACAGCAUCUCUGAAAAUGGAGGCAGCAGCAGAGACGCCCCGCAGCAUGAAGUCGGCCGUUCGGAGCGCAUCAUCAGCGACCUCCUGCCCUUCUCGUGCCCCGGCCCAGAGGGCCAGCUGGCCGCCUCUGCCCUUCACGAAGUUCAGUCCCUCAAGCGAAUUCUGCUCCCACCCGAGGAGAACGAGAGUGGGCCCCGCCCUGAGGGUGAUGGGGUGCUGGGGGCUUCCCCGGGCCCUGCCGUGACGCAGGAGCUCCGCGACCGGCUCCAGAACCUGGAGGAGAACGUCAAGAAGCUGGAGGAAGUAGAGGAAGAGUUGUGCCGGCUCCGCUCUGUCAUCUCCCAGCUCCAGGGGGCCAGCCCCACGCAGCCGGGCUGCUCCUGAGGGCCCCGGAAGGCCCUCUCCUAGGGAGGACGAGGGAUGGGCAGAUGUCCGGGGCUCCCCCAGCCAGGUCAGCCGAGGCCUCCAUCUUCGGAGGGAAGGACGGCUGCAGAGGAGAGGCAGGGCCCCCGACGCUCGUCGCCCCCCCUCGGGAGACUCCUCCCCCCAUCUGGACUUGUCCCUGGGGGCUGCCUGCCCGGAGCCCGCCCUCCUCCAGUGCCUUAGCUGUCGCGCAGCGUUUUCUAUACCGAGGUUUAUUUUUAAUAUAUAUGUGUUUGUCUGUA